rnacentral:lncRNA from 1 species
UCUGAAUAUUGCCCUAGUAUAUAACUUUUUAAAUAUUACAAGCAUAUAAUGUUGGCUGGAAAAGGAAUGAUACAUCCUAUGUUUAUGCAAAGAUACAGGGGAAAAAAAAAAAGAAAAUUGAUUCUCAACACCAUUUCUAAUUAUUGUGUACACUAAAUAUCCUACUAGAUAACAUUUCAACAAAGAUCACAUAUUUGAAUUGGUGAUUUGGUCAGGGUCAAUUACAAUUCCAUGAAUUUGCUGUCUUCGGCCCAAAAUACUUAUGCCAGAUGUGGGAGCAGAUGUUGCUCUUAGUUGUACAUGAGGAGGGAUUGGUGUCUCAUCUGAGUGACCGGAAAUGCAGAGUGCUCCGGCAUCAUCUUGUUCCCAAUAUACCUCUACCAUAAUUCCUCUUGGAUUUUCUGUAGAUUCAGUUCCUGGAACCCCAACAAACCUCGCACCUACAGGUACCUGCGCAUUAAGAUAAAAUUUACUUUCAAAAUAAUUAACUUACUUCUUUCAUGGAAGCUCUGGUGGAAAUUUAGGGCACAAACUGCGUUCGGGAUACUAAAUCUAGGUAUUGUCAAAAUUAUCAUCCUUGUCAAGAUCAAACUAAGGGAAAGACUUGUCUGUUUGGAAGAGACUUCUAGCCGUUAGGGAAGCAUCAGAACCACGUAUUUUGGAAACUGAGGCUGGGAAAUAUUUCCUUUUGGUCUGACAAUCGGAGCACUAACUCAUAACUGUUCAACUUAUGAAAGAGAGCAGCUUUGGAUGUAGGUACGCUUAAUACUUUACAGCUUAAUUGUAUGAUCGAAGAUAUAAUAAGAAUUCCUCCUUAUAUUAAAGGCCAUGACAUAAUCUACUGCAAACUAAUUAGCAAUGGAGCCUCUAGUGCUCUAUGUUGGAAGUACUUGGGCAAAGGAUAAAUAUCAAAUCCUUGGACAAAUAAAUAUGGAAGAAAUUUAUCACUUUAAAGGUCUCAUUUUUCACAUGGAAAACAUGGCACGACUUAUUGACAUUAGACAGAAGAGGUGCAAAUUAUAAUGAAAAUUAGCAGAACUUGUAAGUUCCGGUGGCAAAAUAUGAAUUAGUUGAACAUGUGCUAUUAUAUGGCAUUGUUGCUAAGGAAGUAUGGAGGUUCUUUCCAAGGCCUCUAUUAAAUUAAUUUGCAAACAAUCUACAUGGCCGUGCAGAGUACAAUACCAGUUGGAGGAAAUUCAAUAUUAGCGGAAGAAUGAUAGUUUCAAA